GCCGCCAUGUUUGAGAAGGGCAAAGCAAUUCUGGUUUAGCGGGAGACGUGGCUUAAGGAGAGGCUUUCUGUGUCUAAGGUUUCUGGGUGGCAGAAGAGCCACCGAGUAAAAAGUUAGGGGUAGGGCUUGGAGAUGUUACGCAGCGUUGCGUUUCGACGACUGAUAGAUGCUGCCGCAGUUAAAUACCUCCGAAUAAGACGAAUUCACUACUGGGGGAGGGAGAGCAUGGCAUGGAUGGAUUUAUAUCACCACUGCCUACGUCCCCCGGCAUUCCUUUUAUCUCAUGAAACGAGAAUGAUUUUCAUCUUUUAACAGGCUCACGCCUUCACACAAAAAUUAUAGCAUCUAUAAUGUGUUGCUAAAUAUGGUGUUGGGCUCAUCUUUAACUGGACAGCACAGUUAAUGUCCUAUAGUAUCAUCAAUAAAGGAACUUUUCAGAAGUGGAAUGUGAUUGGAAGGAUAUGCAUACUAAAACUACCACAAUCUGCUUCCCGUGUAUGAUACACAUCAUGAGGGGCUUGGCAGGACUCAGGAGUUCACUUCAAAAAUGCAAAACCGUAUCAGAGGAAACUGAAGAUGUUUAGCAUUGCAGCAGGCAAGAAUUAGGAAGUUAACCUCUUUGUCCUCUGCUGUGGUCCUGAGGAAAAGCCCUCUUCUAAAGAUUUCUGCACUGAACAAGCAACAGUGAGCCACAGCACCAAAUGUAUUCUCUCCUACCAAAGCAGGACAUUUUUUUAAACAUAUAAAAUAUGGGAAAAUUUUCCCCAGCCCUCACAAAUUCCACCCUGCCCAUAAACGUAAUUAUCAACCCACCCUUUUAAUUCUGUUUGGAUUUAGGGAGAAACAAAUUCAGGUUUAAAUGCAACUCGCUUUCUCUUCUAGGCUUGUCAUUUAGGGCUUGCUGUUCUGCUUUAAGCAAAACCUGUACCUAUGUAAACCCUAUGGCUUAAUUAGACCUGUUACUUUAAGGAGGUUCAAUGCUUUCAAGUUCUUGUGUGCAGAUGGGUGGGGAGGAAUGGUGGCCUUUGGAAGCCAUUUUGUCUAAGAGCUGCAGGAAAGGGAUUCAGGACAGGCCUGGCCUAUCGAGUUAUUUCAAAGGACACCUGGUAUAAUAAACCCACCUUUUCCUGCUGGCUUUUGGUGGCAGAUGGGUUACGGUAAGUUAUUUGAACUGCUUUUAAAUUAUGCUAUUUGUGUAAUUUAUGAGAAUUGUUUUGUUUAGUAGGUAUUACGGUAUGUUUUAUUAUCUUUCUUUUUUUUUGUAAACCACCCCAUUACCAUUUUUUGUGAAGAACGGUAUAGAAACCUCUAAAUAAAUGAAUGACUAAGUCCAAUUUUAUUCAAGUCAGCAGCACCUGGAGGUCCUUGAACCAAAACCCCUGAAUUUGGGUUGCCAGACAAUAGUGGACUGUGGUGGUGGUGACAAGUGUAGUGUCUCAGGGUAUGAGCAGUGAACCAAGUAGUCUUUGCUUCAAAGCUCACUUUAACCUUGAAUUUGCUAGGUAGGCCUAGAUCUGCCAGCUGUUCUCUUGGCCUCAUCUCCCUAUAAGCAGCAUGGAAAUCAUAAUAUUACCUUAUACUCUAAGACUUAUAGGGUUGUUGUAAGUGCUGCUAGGAUGAUGCACUCUGUGUACUUGAAAUAUGCUUGCUACAUGAAUGCUAGGUGCCACAGUAUUCUUCUUGCAUUAUGUGUGCCAUUUCAUGUUAUUUUUGCUUCCAUGAACCUUUGCAACCUUGCCUGGGAUUAAGGUCUGUCUGAACCAAGUUCAUGAUUUGAAGUAUGAUGUUUCUACAGUCUGAAAGCAGCUGGAGGCUGUGGUCCUGUGCAGAUGUCCCUGGGAGUAAAUCCCAUUAAAUUCAGGAAGACUUCUGGCAACAUGCAUAAGAUGGGGCUGAAAUGUUGCAGAAUAGUGGUAGAGAACUCACUACAUGGAGCAGAUCCAGGGUUUCCCAUUUCUGAUUUGUUUUUGGUUAAUAAAUAAUGGGAAAAUCUGUAGCAUUUUCUCAAUCUAGCAAAAGCUGGGCUAAAAGAAAAUGCAUUUUGGGGGAACGCAGCAGGCUCAAAGCUAAAACCCAGCUGAGGCUCCCAGUGGUGUUUUUGAAGCAUAGUAUGCAGAGAGGGGCAUAAAAAGAAAUACAGUUUUGCUUCAGACACUAUUCUUGUUUGUUUAGCUGAGUGUAAAUGCAAUUUAAAAAUGCAUAGAGGUUUGAAUGCAGCCCAUCUGUCAUGGCUUUCGAUAGGACGAAAUAUCCAUCAAUCCUGCAGAACAAAAUUUCUGCCUUAGAAAAGUACAUAUUGAUUCAAGGGUGACGGAGAACUCCCCUACCAUCCCUUGUAAAACACACACACACACACACAUUCACACACUCACUCACUCACUCACUCACUCACUCACUCUCUUUACAGUGCAAUCCUAUACAUGUAUGUUCAAAAGUAAACCCCAAGUUCAGUGGGACUUACUCAUGUGUGUAUAGGAUUGCAGCCAUUGUGUCCUAUCUUGGGAUGGGGUGGGAAUGAGAAGAGCAGGACUGUCUUGUACUCCUUCCUGUGUUGCAACAAUUCUAAAAGGGACCUGCUUCUACAGCUGUAGAAAUGAUUAAUGGUCUAAUUUGGUUGUUUCUGUCACUGCCUCUUUAGGAGUCAGCAAACAUUAUGUUCAUCUAGCCCAAUUCUUUCCAGGUCAGCCCCAAAGUGGAACCUUUGCCCUUUGCCUGGGAAUAACAUGGCUCCUGUUGUUGAAAUGUGUUUUUCAAAGAUAUUCAAGUUACUGUUCAUUCCAUGACACACUAGUAAAUAAAUAGGUGGUGGAGGUAUAGAGGUGAUUGUUGCUGUUUUGGUGCUGGGGAAUACUUGCCUCUUUCUGUCUUGAUUCUUGAAUAAUAGCUUGCAAUUUUGUGGUGCGCAAGGACUGCAAAUCCUGUAUUUAAAAAUGUAUAUAUAUACGACAUGAAAAAUGACUAAAUAUCCUCUGUGCGUUGGCAACAGCCUUCCAAUGGCUGGUGUCUUAAUACAGGUAGUGGAAGCUGUAUAAAUAAAUCCGAGUGAGAAGAGGGGUGAGCAGAAGGAUGUGUGAUGGGAUGGUUUUUAUUGCCCUUUAUGUGUUUUUUUUUACAAAGCCAAUAUUCCGCCUGGUCUUUGCAGUGGUGUUGAUAGAGUUGGAACUUUGGCUCAAAACCCUGGGCCUUAGAGUCUGGAGGCCCUCCAAAUGACUACCCAGAGAAUAGUAGUUUAUGAGGGCAGCAGCAAACAGGUCUGACACCAGCAUUUGGGUCUGUCUGAGGCUUACUAGGACUGACACUGGUCACUGUAGAAUCCUUUCUUCAUUUCUAUUCAGGGAUCAGCUGGUCAGGCAUGUACAUUGUUAUAGAAGUUUAUUUUUUAUUUUUUUACUUUAAAUACAUAUUGCCUUUUACUAAUAUAAAAUGGUCUAAUUUCUAAGAGUUGUACUCAAGAGUACACACCUGUCAAAAUUAAUGGUCCUAAGUUAGUCAUGUCUUAUCAUUUUUAGUGGAUCUCCUAUUAAAAUUGGGCCCAACCCAAAGUGAAUGUGUUUAACAUCAGGCCAGCGGAAGCAAACUUUAUUUUCGUUUAUUUCUGGAGUCAUGGUGAUGCUGUGAUUUAAGUGAGCUUAA